GAUCAGCUCUGGAGGAAGAAUCCAUGCUGUUCAUUACAGCCUUGUGUCUAUCCAUGGGGAGCUGGAGCUUGAAACAGGAGUCCAAUCAACGAACACAACUCUGGGAUAAUCAAACUGCCUUUGAAGCAAAGCAAGUUGAGCUUCUUUCCCCUUCCACCCUCAUAUGGAAGGUCUCAUGGUUCCUCUCUGGCUUUUUUGUUUGUUUUUGUUGUUGGGGGAGGAUGGGGAAGGAGGGAUGGUCAGGAAAGCAAUUAUUGGGUUUGGAAUUAACCAAGAAGGAAGGGUUUGGACAGAAUAUAUGGUAGGAAAAGGGGGUUUUGUCAAUAGGUGCUUUACUACAACCAUCCCAUUAGGCCAAAGCCGCCCGACUUGGGCCCUCCAACUGUUGUUGGACUACAACUUCCAUAAUCCCUGAUUGUGGCUGGCAAUGAUGGGAGUUGUAGUCCAACCUCAGCUGGAGGGCCAGCAUUGUGCAGCCGUGCAUUAAGUCAACAAACUGAAAGGGAAAUGAUUUUAUUGGAAGCUGAAGACAUUUGUCCAACUUUGGGUUGUCCUUAACUGCACCUAUGCCUGUCUUUUAAUCCCCCCCCAUUGUUUUUAAAUGUAAGGGAAAGAGGGGCUGUGGCUCAGUAGUAGAGCAUGCCCUUUUCAUGCAAAAGGUCCCAAGUUCAAUCCCCAGCUUUGCCAAUUAAAAGAACCUCAGGUAGUAGAGCUCAGGAAGGUCUCUUGUUGCCCGAGAUCUUGGAGAGCCAAUGCCAGUCAUCAUCGGGAAUACUGGGCUAGAAUGUCUGCCUUGGCACAAGGCAGCUUUAUAUGUUGAGGUUUGUUUGUCUGUGUGUAUGUGUUACUUUUCUGGCAACCUCAACUGCCUACAUGAUUAGGAAAGUCUUUACAUCUAGGAACUACUUAGACAGAUGAGAAUAAAAAAAUCUCCUGCCAUGUUAUGGGAGCGAUUCAGAAUGAAUGGAGAGGAAAUCGAGCGGAGGGAGGAAUAAUCAGUUGUGUGAGAUCUGCAGCACAUGAACAACAAAAGACAAAUUAAUUUCUCCUUAACCACAAGCGAGGGAGGAAAAAACACCAAAGGCCAACAGAACUGUUGGGAAGUGGAACUUUGCUGAAAGAGGAGCAUCUUGAUCUGCAAUAAGUGGACUUAGUCAUAGUGCCAACAUACAACCUUGUUCAACCAGCAACAUUAACUAUUCGUGGUGACCGAAAAGGUGCUGUAGAUGGGAUAGGCUGUGGCUGGAUAGAAAACCAGCGAUUUCCUCAAAACCAACAGAAACUUCCAUAACCCUGUUGCCAAGCCAGUGUCUAUGAACUGUUAGCAUCAGAAAUGUACAAGUUGAAUACAAACAGUUGUCUGUCCAGAAGCUUUUACCUGCUCAUAAUGAAAAACUUACUUAAAUGAGUGAACACCUUAUGAACGAAUGUUAGA